rnacentral:rRNA from 1 species
GAUGAACGCUAGCUACAGGCUUAACACAUGCAAGUCGCGGGGCAGCAUGGGGGUUGCUUGCACUCCCCGAUGGCGACCGGCGCACGGGUGAGUAACGCGUAUCCAACCUGCCCUUCACCACGGGAUAACCCGGCGAAAGUCGGACUAAUACCGUAUGUUGUCCAUUGACGGCAUCCGAUUUGGACGAAAGGCUUGGCGGUGAGGGAUGGGGAUGCGUCCGAUUAGCCAGACGGCGGGGUAACGGCCCACCGUGGCUACGAUCGGUAGGGGUUCUGAGAGGAAGGUCCCCCACACUGGAACUGAGACACGGUCCAGACUCCUACGGGAGGCAGCAGUGAGGAAUAUUGGUCAAUGGGCGUAAGCCUGAACCAGCCAAGUAGCGUGCAGGAGGACGGCCCUAUGGGUUGUAAACUGCUUUUAUGCGGGGAUAAAGUGGCCCACGUGUGGGCUUUUGCAGGUACCGCAUGAAUAAGGACCGGCUAAUUCCGUG